CGUUUCCGGGGCCUCCUUGGCGUCAGGACUCCGCGGCACGCUGGAAAUGCGUCAUCUCCCAAGGACCCCAGGAGUAGUUUCUUUUUCCUGAGACAGAACCGGAUCUGGCGAACUGAGGUGUUUGAGCAUUCGAUGCCUCUUUGAAAGAAGACAAACACUGAAACUCUGAAGAACUUAUGUCUUCCUCCUUAUUAAAGAGACCCAGGUGGACUUAAUUGAAGAAUGGAAGGCAACAAGCAAAAAAAUGAAGACCACUGCCUAGGAAGAAAAUUCUGGACAUCCGAACUCCAGUUGAAGCCACAGUCAAGACACUCAUCUUUUUGUUGUUGACUCGCUGAGCAUAGUGGUGCCUCCCUAGUUUAGUGCUGCCUCUCCCUUCAGCCUGGUCAGCUCAUCUUUUUUCCACUGAUUUGAUUUUAGCACUCUGAAAGUUGGCUCAAAACUCACAUAUCUGUCCCCAUUACUUAAUGCCUCUAGUUGAAUGGGUGGAAAGGUCCUAAAACCUGAUCUCAUCCUGGCUUCCCAUGGUAUGUGUUUGGGAAGUGUAGGUCAACCGGUAGCCUGGAUUAUAUUACUAUUGAUAUAAAAUUUAGAUUUCCUGGCCACUUUCCCUGUGUCUGCUACCUUUUUCCUUGUGCACACUUCUUUUUUAUUGUCCUUAUUACAAUUAUUUUUGUACCGA